CCCGGCGAGGGGAGUGAAAAAGAACCUGAAACCGUGUACGUACAAGCAGUAGGAGCCUCUUUAUGGGGUGACUGCGUACCUUUUGUAUAAUGGGUCAGCGACUUAUAUUCUGUAGCGAGGUUAACCGUAUAGGGGAGCCGUAGGGAAACCGAGUCUUAACUGGGCGAAUGAGUUGCAGGGUAUAGACCCGAAACCCGGUGAUCUAUCCAUGGGCAGGUUGAAGGUUGGGUAACACUAACUGGAG
rnacentral:rRNA from 1 species